rnacentral:rRNA from 1 species
GACGAACGCUGGCGGCGUGCUUAACAUAUGCAAGUCGAACGGAAAGGCCCUGCUUUUGUGGGGUGCUCGAGUGGCGAACGGGUGAGUAACACGUGAGUAACCUGCCCUUGACUUUGGGAUAACUGCAGGAAACUGGGGCUAAUACCGGAUAGGAGCUCCUGCUGCAUGGUGGGGGUUGGAAAGUUUCGGCGGUUGGGGAUGGACUCGCGGCUUAUCAGCUUGUUGGUGGGGUAGUGGCUUACCACGGCUUUGACGGGUAGCCGGCCUGAGAGUGUGGCCGGCCACAUUGGGACUGGGGUACGGCCCCGACUCCUACGGGAGGCAGCAGUGGGGAAUAUUGCACACUGGGCGGCAGCCUGAUGCAGCAACGCCGCGUGCGGGAUGACGGCCUUCGGGUUGUAAACCGCUUGCGCCUGUGACGAAGCGUGAGUGACGGUAAUGUGUAAAGAAGCACCGGCUAACUACGAG